AGCGGCCGCCCCAGAUCUAGCCCAAAUCACCAUCUGCUCCAACCCUAGCCGCCGCCAACACGAGACGACGCCGAGCACCCACCACUGCCCGACCCCAGCCGCCCCUGACCACCCAUCGCAGCAGCUGUCCUCUCGGACCACCGCCGCCGCCGAGCACCCUCCUCCGUCGCCGUCAAGUACCCUCCUACGCAGAUCUCGUCCGCCCUCCGCCCAUCCCCAGCGCCGCCCAGAUGUCGCCUCUCCUUCCAUGCUUUCUCCCCGGGCAGCACCGUCUCUCCUAGGGUAUGCGCCACCGACCAUCAUGCUCUCCAGCCUAUCGUCCUUCGUCCGUGCUCCUCCGACCUCCCCCUUUUGUACUUCGAGCGCGAGAAUGAACCAUCUUUUGGUGGUGCUUGAGUCAUGGGCAUAGAUGCAUCUAACCAAAUAAUGCUUGCUUCUGGGAAGGCACCUAGUGUAGGUGGAGAACAUGUUCUAAGAAAGCGGCUCCAAAAAGAUUUUUCUGCUUCUGCUAUGGGACCUUGCAUGUGGGAUGAUGAGGGCAAUCAAAGCAGGUUUUCCUAAGAUACACAAGUUGAUGGAGGAUUGCAAGAUCUACAUACAAGCGGUUGACGGUUUGGAAGUUCUACAGCGGCUGAAGGUUUGGAGGACAUACAAUUAAGUUGGUGUAGUGAUAAUGUAGUGCACCUAGUUUGUUGAACCUGGAGACAUUGGCAAGUUCUGCUUAUUUUGGUGGUUGUUUUGGUACACAAGCCACUGGAUGCUCAUUUUGGUUGUGUGGCACAUCUAGAAACAUACGUACUAUUUUGUGCCAGCACAAGUCCUUAUGUAUGGUUGUUUCCUAUAUGUAUGUAUCCAGAAACAUAUGUAUCUGGCAUGUUAUGUUUAUAUUGAAGGAAAUUUAAGGUUUUUGAUGAGGCC
rnacentral:rRNA from 1 species